rnacentral:rRNA from 1 species
GACGAACGCUGGCGGCGUGCUUAACACAUGCAAGUCGAACGGAGUGGCGAACGGGUGAGUAACACGUGGGUGACCUGCCCUGCACUUCGGGGUAAGCCUGGGAAACUGGGUCUAAUACCGGCUAGGUUGGGAUGGGCGCGCGGCCUAUCAGCUUGUUGGUGGGGUAAUGGCCUACCAAGGCGGCGACGGGUAGCCGGCCUGGGGGGGGGGACGGCCACAUUGGGCCUGAGACACGUCCCAGACUCGUACUGGAGGCAGCAGUGGGGAAUAUUACACAAUGGUCGGAAGCCUGUUGCAGCGGCGCCGCGUGGGGGAUGGCGGCCUUCGGGUUGUAAACUCCUUUCACCAUCGACGCGGUAGAUGGAGAAGAAGCACCGGCUAACUACGUGCCAGCAGCCGCGGUAAUUG